rnacentral:lncRNA from 1 species
UGACUAAGAAACAGAGUAGUAAAUCAGUGGAAUAGAUUAGGUACACAAUACAUAGUAGCAAAUCACAAUUAUUUAGUGUUUGAUAAACCCAAAGAUUCAAGCUUUUGGGACAAGAAAUCACUAUUUGACAAAAACUGCUGGGAAAACUGGAAAAAGGUAGGUCAGAGACUGGGUAUAGACCAAUAUCUCACACCCUACACCAAGAUAAAGUUAAAAUGGAUAUAUGAUUUAGACAAAAAUCUAAAUGGAGCUACCAUUUCACUUUAUCUCUUUUCUUUUUAGUGUGUGUUCAAGUUCUCUUUCACAAAAUGGCUAAUAUGAAAAUAUGCUUUACACUAUUAGACAUAUCAUCUAUGUCAGAUUGCUUACUAUUUCAAGGAGGAGUGAGGGAAGGCUCUUUGACAGUGGAGAAGUGGCUGGUGGCAGCUUGCUGAACGUGUCGGCAUCUUGGCAUGGCGGCUGCUAUUGUCCGGGUUUAGCUGUGAGUUUUCCUCGAUACCAUACUGGAGGAAGCCUAAUAACCUAGUUCAGGUGAGGCUCUUCUCUGAGAUCUCUCAGAGUUUAGGCUGAUUUUUCUCUCCUUUACCUUCCAAACACUAUCCUCUAAGAGAAAGCCUCUAAUCUUCAAGGACCUCAUGGCAGAGGACUUUGAACUCAUCUGGCACAGGCUGAGCAGGAGAAAUUCUGUACCUUUCCCUCUCUCUUCUCCUUGAUUUCUUCCUGAGAAAUUCGAUACUUUCCCCUCUCUCUUCUCCUUGAUUUCUUCCCUAUAUGUUGAUUAAACCACCAUAUAUUUCCAAACUGAUUUGGGUAUUUAAUUUGGGAUAUCCCCUGGCGACCAAAAAUCAAAAAUUAAGUCACAACCCUAAAAUAUCCUUACAAAACAACAGGGUUAGGGGAAAGGACUAAACUGUGAUUUUAUUGGUGUAACUCUUAGAUAAGGAAAUUUUCUCUACCAGACUUAGAUAGUUUCUAAGAGCCCUGAAAUGGAAUGAUUUGCCCUAGGUCUAAAGCCAGUAUAUGUUAAAGUUGGGAACUCAGUCCAAAUUUCCCUGUUCUUUGUCCAUGUAUACCAAAAUAUAGCAAAAUAUACCAAAAUAUAGGUGGAGUGUCUUUCUUUCACACAAGAGUAGCAAAUAUUAGGAAAAUUCAAUAUUUUUGUUUAAAAAUAUGAAUAAAAUUGCCAGAUAACCUUAUAAAAUGAUUCUU